rfam:Loxodonta africana unplaced genomic scaffold scaffold_4, whole genome shotgun sequence.
ACAUUGGUGGUUCAAGUGGUAGGAUUCUCACCUUCCAUGUGGGAGACCUGGGUUCUAUUCCCAGUCAAUACA